UACAGAGGAGCCAAGCGUUGUCCGGAUUGACUGGGCGUAAAGCGCACGCAGGCGGGUGCGCGCGUGGGGUGUGAAACCGGGUGGCUUAACUGCCCGUCGCCAUCCCCAUACGGCGGCGGCCUGGAGCCAUCCAGAGGUCGGUGGAAUUGCCGGUGUAGUGGUGAAAUGCGUAGAGAUCGGCAGGAACACCCAGGGGGAAAC
rnacentral:rRNA from 1 species